rnacentral:lncRNA from 1 species
CAUGUUGGGGACUUAUUUGGUGCCACAUUUUUGGGGCCACAUUGCUGGGGACUUAUUUGGUGCCCCCCAAUUGUCGCCUCCCCUCUUGGUAUCACCUGUUGGUGACUUAUUUGCUGCCCCCCUGUUGGUGCCACCCUGCUGGUGACACAUUUGGUGCCCCCCUAUUCGUAUCACCCUGUUGGUGACACAUUUGGUGCCCCCUUAUUGGUGUCACAUUCUUGGUGACUUAUUUGAUGCCCCUCUGUUGGUGCCACAUUGCUGGGGACAUAUUUGGUGCCCCUCUUUUGGUAUCACCCUGUUGGUGACACAUUUGGUGCCCCCCACCCCAUUGGAGCCACAUUGUUGGUGACUUAUUUGGUGCCCCUCUGUUGGUGCCACAUUGCUGGGGACUUAUUUGGUGCCACCCUCCUGGUAUCACUGUGUUGGUGACUUAUUUGGUGCCACAUUUUUGGGGUCACAUUGCUGGGGACUUAUUUGAUGCCCCCCUGUUGUCGCCCUCCCCUCUUGGUAUCACCCUGUUGGUGACACAUUUGGUGCCCCCCUGUAGGUGUCACAUUCUUGGUGACUUAUUUGGUGCCACCCUAUUGGUGCCACAUUGCUGGGGACUUAUUUGGUGCCCCCAUGUUGGUACCGCCCUGUUGGUGACUUAUUUGGUGCCACAUUUUUGGGGUCACAUUGCUGGGGACUUAUUUGAUGCCCCCCUGUUGUCGCCCCCCCUCUUGGUAUCACCCUGUUGGUGACAUAUUUGGUGCCCCCCACCCCGUUGGAACCACAUUGCUGGGGACUUAUUUGGUGCCCCCCCUCCUGGUAUCAACCUGUUGGUGACUUAUUUGGUGCCCCCCUGUUGGUGCCACAUGGCUGGGGACACAUUUGGUGCCACAUUUUUGGUGCCACAUUGCUGGGGACAUAUUUGGUGCCCCUCUUUUGGUAUCACCCCGUUGGUGACAUAUUUGCUGCCCCCCCCGCCCCCGUUGGUGCCUCAUUGCUGGGGACUUAUUUGGCGCCCCUCUGUUGGUGCCACAUUCCUGGUGACAUUCCUGGUGACAUUCCUGGUGACAUUCCUGGUGCCAUUCCUGGUGCCUGCCAUUUCCGGCGCCAUUUCCGGCGCCAUUUCCGGUGCCGUUCCUGGGUGUCGCUCCCAGCUGUGCCAUCAGAGCCCAAUGGGGCUGAAUGGGGGCCCCCUAUGGGACCGGGUUUUUUUUUUGGGGGGGGUGGGGGACCCCUUG